AAAAGCGCGUGUAUAUCCUGCUUAUUGUCCGCUGUUGUGAGGUAAACGCAUGGAUGAUGCUGUUCACUGCACCGUGGCAGUGCUGAUGCUGGAAGAUGCCACGCGUUUCCUCGCCCUCCAGUGUGGUGGAGCAGAGUCAUAUCCUGAGGUAAAAUAGUUGCUGCUUAAAUAGAAAACGAUGUGACCCCGCCCACUGAUUCGAGUGGGCAUGCGCAGUGUGGCCAAAAGCUCAGAUUGAACAUUCUUUGGUCAGAGGGAUGGAUGGACAAUAAAGAGAUUGAUGUCACCUUUAGCCUAUAGAGGGCAGUGAUGAGUGACCUGCUGGACCAGGGAAACAGCAGUGCAGAAUAACAUUGCAUGGCUUUGCAUUUCCUCACGGAUGUCCUGUAAACCCGACACCAGCGUCAGUCUCCUGUUACAGCCUUCGUCCUAACUCAGCAGAAUCCAGUGUGAACUCUUAUGUUUCCUCUUAUAUCCUGUAUAAGGAUGAUGGUGUUUGUAUGAUUCUAAAACCUUAUUGGACAGCGUUUCACACAUGCACACACAUUUCAGGGCCACGGCGUCCUUAGACAUCAAUCCAUUCUCUAUUCUGCUUAUCCCUAUUGCUGUCAUGGGAAAAAUGUCACAAGCAAUUUACAGAACGCAACAUACAGUAUAGCAUGUUUAAACCUGUGUUCAUGUUUCAUGAUGACCAAUUUGUUAUAUUUUGAAAAGAUAUUAAUAACCUGUUUGACCCGGUUUCAAUAAUUUAUGAAUACAAACCAUAAAAUACAGCAACUGCGUAAGUGCUUCACAAUUGCAAUGUCCAGUAGGUCAUUUAUUAAUGAAUCUAUAUGCAUAAAUCAAUGUUUAUGUUAAUAAACUCUGCAUUCGUAACAUUUGUAAAGGCAUGUGCAUCAUUAAAAUGUAAAUGUAACAGUUU